UGAUCCGGAUUUAUUGGGUUUAAAGGGAGCGUAGAUGGAUGUUUAAGUCAGUUGUGAAAGUUUGCGGCUCAACCGUAAAAUCGCAGUUGAUACUGGAUGUCUUGAGUGCAGUUGAGGCAGGCGGAAUUCGUGGUGUAGCGGUGAAAUGCUUAGAUAUCACGAAGAACUCCGAUUGCGAAGGCAGCCUGCUAAGCUGCAACUGACAUUGAGGCUCGAAAGUGUGGGUAUCAAACAGGAUUAGAUACCCUGGUAGUCCACACGGUAAACGAUGAAUACUCGCUGUUUGCGAUAUACGGCAAGCGGCCAAGCGAAAGCGUUAAGUAUUCCACCUGGGGAGUACGCCGGCAACGGUGAAACUC
rnacentral:rRNA from 1 species